AUGCCAUCAUCAAGGCACUACCAUUCUGGUAGAAUUUACUCACCAACUGGUUCAUCUGAUCAGUGGACUGGCACAUCAGGGCAAUGGUUUUCAAGAGAUGUGAACGUCCAGAUAUACGCUCUGAGUAGUGGGCCGGAAGAUGCCACAUCAUUCCCAAUACUAUGCUGUCUCUAACACAACUGAAAUGGGGUGCACCACAGAGCAGAUCACUCAUAAUGGGCCACUUACUGAACACUUGUCACCUGGACACAAAUGAGGCAGGAAAAUCACUGCUCAGGCAUGGACGCCAAUGUCUACUCCUGGAAAUCCGCUUCUGCUCACUCCAGAAAGCACCGGAGGUGUGACGAGAGCAACCCUCAUUGCUGUGCAUCCCCUGGCAGGAAACACACGCUCAGGUGCAUUUGUUCGUCCGUUUUCUUUGAAAUGCUGUGGAAAGCAGUGUACAGCAGUCCUAGCAAAAGGAGAAUUCAGGAGCUAAGUGAACACCGCAGUGGAUUUCAGCCACCGUCCCACACCUACAAGAUGUCAAAAGCGCCAAAUCCCAGAGCCUAAUGGGACCUCUGCAGUAGCCAACAUCCCAUAUGCAUAAAAGAACCUUAUAUAGUAGUAUCUCCCCAGCAAAGGGACUGUUCUUGGAAGCCAAACCAUGCUGCUUCUAGAUCCGCUGUAUCUCCCGAAAUAGAUUUAUGAAGAAGGAAGACAGAGACACAAAGGCUAGAGAAGGGCUUCUUACCCUGCUAAAGAAAUUUUUAAGUGUCAAAACUCCAAUGGACAAACUACUAGACCAGGAGGCCAGGAAGGGACAUAAGCAACACGAGGGGGGUUAGAUGGAGGCUGGGGAAGACCCCAGGUGGAGGUGGGAGAGGACCAGGAUCUGACAGCUAAAGGUGGAACCUGAGCUUCUCAAUCUGAAAAUGAAGUGGUUUAUUAAUGGAUAUUGGCUCCCAGGUGACAUCGGCUAAACCACCCAGAACGAUGCAUAUGAAGUCUGAAGUGAAUCCAAGACUUCUAGCUGCACGGUUCUAAAUCCUGGCGGCCAGUUGGCAUUUAGACCUUCUACAACUUGACUCCACACUUCACCUGCCAGCCCCGCAAUGGACCCCGCCUCCAUCUUGAUUGGUGCACUGUGAUCUGCUUAUUGGACAUCUUGUCCCUGAGAGCAGAGUGUGAUGACUCCUUCCGGAUCUUAAUUGGUGAAGGAAAUCUCUGGCUUUAUGCAGAUAGGUAUGUAACAACUAUUUCCCACAGGCAUACUCCCCAUCAUUGUGUGACUGACCAAUAAAAUGCAAUUUCUUGCAUAAUCCUCCAGGAUCUAAACAUUUAUGUCUCUGGCCUACAUUCGCAGACAUUAAAGACCAGACACUCCUACCCAACAAGGUCCUCC
rnacentral:lncRNA from 1 species